UACAGAGGGUGCGAGCGUUGUCCGGAAUCACUGGGCGUAAAGGGCGCGUAGGUGGCGCGACAAGUCAGUGGUGAAAGCUCGGCGCUUAACGCCGAGUCGGCCACUGAUACUGUUGGGCUUGAGCACUGUAGAGGCUAAUGGAAUUCCGGGUGUAGCGGUGGAAUGCGUAGAGAUCCGGAAGAACACCGGUGGCGAAGGCAGUUAGCUGGGCAGUUGCUGACACUGAGGCGCGACAGCGUGGGGAGCAAACAGG
rnacentral:rRNA from 1 species